GUGGACAUGGUGUAGUGGUAGCAUGCGAGGCUUCCAACCUCCUGGUGUGGGUUCAAAUCCCACUGUCCAUACCA
rnacentral:tRNA from 1 species